UCCAUCAGGGUGAAACCACCACAUCUAGGCAGCAUUUUUGCUGACAGAAUGAUAGCUAAAACAGUCAAAUGUAAAUAAUGACAUCUAUAUCUGAUAAGAGACCCAUAACCUGCAGUUACUCAGUUACCAGGAGUAAAUGGAAGCUGUAACAAUCUGUAACUGCCACCUGCUGGUUACAAACAAAAGUCUACUCUUUGUCAUAAAACAUUUAAUUUAAAUCCAUCUAUAAUCAUAGGUGAUGUCACUUUUUUCAGAUAUUGGAUUUAGUUCAGUAAAAAUUAAUAUGCAACUAUUUGAAAUAAAAAAUAGACUAUUUAUUACUGAUGAAGUUGGUUUUGUAGACAAAUAUCUGCAUCACAACCAGCAUACCUGCAGCUAAAGGGUUGUGGAGAAGAGCUCCAACAGAAAUGCGGAAAUAUGAUCAAUACACUUCCUUUCUGUCCCAGAGCUACAGCAUCACUUCAGGUUAAAAAUGAGGAAGGGUUGUGAAAAAUGCUUCCAUCUCAACAUUGUUACCUCCUGGAAAAAGAGAGAGGGAGAGAGAGAGAGAGAGAGUUACCAGUCAGCAAACAUUUCUCAGCUCAUUUUACUAGGCUUGAAAAUGUAUUUCAUCUUCAGUUUCGACAAGCUGUUCUGUGAUUGAGGGUAAGGAUCUUGCCCAGAUUCCUAGGUUAUGCUCUUCACUUUCACGUUUCUCAUUCUUACAGCACGGUGGCAGCCAGAGAAGACAGGGUGUGCAGUGGAAGCCCCAGAGCUCAGGGUUAUGUAUCUAUGGGGGCACAGAAGCCUUCAAACUGCACCAGAACCUGCAGCCUGAUCGGGCAGAGAUCAAACUAAAGGGCUGCAGGGUAGCUCAUCUCCCAGCUGCAUGUCCGAAAUGCCAAAUCCAGAGGAUUUGUAAGAAGUCUGCUGUGAGAGAAAGAGCGUGUGUGUAACCUGGAAGGUCUCAAGGCAGGUCUGCAGGCUGUAGUACAGGUUGAAGAAGAUCAGUGCAUGAGUUAGUCCAUUGUUUGCUCUUCAGCUUCCCACCCUUUGCCAAGAAGGACAGGAGAGAAGAAAAGUCUUGAACUGAUAGGCAUUUGGAGCAUGCUCUGAGUCAUGACCUUUUGAAGGGUGUUUGAAGUAGCAGACAGGAAUACAUGGCAGA